UAAAAACACAUUAUUUCAUCUCAUGAAUCAUUUUAAUGGUUGCCCAUUCCGACAAAUACUUUGGUUAUUUGACACUCGUUGUAUAUGACACUCUACUAUAAUCGUGUAAUGACGAAGGACGGAUAUAUACAUGUAAUCAUAAUCACGCCAGUUCCUUACUCUUUUUACCCAAUGAAGAGGCCCUCACUUUUAGCCCUUCCGACCGUAUAUAGGCGUCUUUUACCCAAUGACUGCCUGACGUUUAGAACAUGUCUGUAAUAAAAUUAGAACUUACUAAGUAUCAGAACAAGUUGACGUAGUAUGUGAACUGGCUCAUGUACUCUGUCUCCCUGUACGAAGUUUCAGGGAUCAUGUUAAAUAUCAAAAGGCAAGAGACCCAAUUCGUUGUUCUCGCUGUUGUGAGCAAGACGACGGACCAAACCAGAUGCAUAUGUAGGUUACAAACCUUCGAUGCAUGGCACACUCUGUACGUUGUGUCGGUAGGCGUUUAGUCAUACGUGUACCGAGGCUGUGCUUACUGCUGAACUGGGUAUCGACCUCGACUGGCAUUGAGAGUACGGAUGAGGGGUAGUUGGUACCGUACAAAGCGUCUGAAGGCACGGGUGCCAAUAAGAGAAGAAACUGUCUACACACGAGCUGAUAAAUUACACGACGGUUAUGAAGAGUCUUCUUAUUUUUGGUGUCGGUUAAGGUAGGUCGGAUCGAUUGAUCAGUACUUCUACCUAGGUGGUGGGUUUUACGAUCGGAGAGAGUGGUAGUGGUAUGACUACUACUACUACUACUACUACCGGUGGAGGUAGCGCGAACGUAGCCUACGUGGCCACGAGCCUCCUGUUCGUUCUCGCGAGGAGCUGACCUUUCGGUCGGAACUGUUGGUUUCGGUUUCUCGUGACGUGAGAACCCCGUUGUGCAGCUGCGGGACGUUAACCGCACCGUAGUGGACGCCAUGGCCACACGUGACCGUGGCCGAUCACUAGUUUCCGUAGAGAGACGCCCCCUACGCCGAUUCUCCCCGAGACCUCAGGGAGUUGAAGAGCCGGAACUCCUGGAACUGUGCGGAGCUGGAGAGUGUGUUGGAGGAACGACCCUCGUAAGGAGGAUCAUAGCUCUAGGAACCGCUCGAGGUACGAGAAGGAAGACGUUCCGUUGGUCUAUUCUCCGAGUUAGGGUGAUCCAGAUCCUUUAGAGUGUUUUAACGUAAGGAAUUACGAAGUGCUUUUACUUGAGAGGCCACUUUAUGAUUCAGUCUAUCCGUUGAACUCAUCAGAACAGUGGGAGUUGAACAGUUUGUUAGUGAACCAACCAGUAUAGGGAACACUCUAUCCUGUGUACUUCGUGAAUCAACGUAAUCUAAACAGGUCAUUACUAGAAAAACCAUUUUAUGGUUCGUCGUAUCCACCAAACUGGCUUGAGUGAUCGAACAUGGAAAUGCCAUUGGUUGAAAGAUCUGUUUAAGGUGCUCUUGAUCCAAUAGAAGACUUGAAUUUCCUGGACGUUGAACCGUAGUUGUGUGACAGCCCAAGGUAAGGUGCUUUAAAUGUAUUAAACUGGUUAGAGUGACACAAUUAAGAUCGCUCUUUGUUUGAAAGGCCCAAUUAAGGUGUUUUUUAUCUAAUGGAAAGCUUGAAUCUCAUGGACCUAGAACCACUGUUGUAUGAGAGUCCAAGGUAGGGUUUAUCGUAUCUUUUAAACUGGUUUGAGUGGCGCAACAUGUAAAAGUAGUUGGUUGAAAGACCUGUGUAGGGAGCUCUUGAUCCAGCGGAACACUUGAAUCACUUAGACCUAGAACCGUGAUUGCGGGAUUGACCAAGGUAGGGUUUAUCGUAUCCUUUAAACUGGUUUGAGUGUCGCAACAUGUAAAAGUAGUUGGUUGAAAGACCUGUGUAGGGAGCUCUUGAUCCAACGGAACACUUGAAUCUCGUCAACUACGAAUCGUUGUUGUGCGAUUGACCAAGGUAGGGUUUAUCGUAUCCUUUAAACUGGUUUGAGUGUAGGAAUAUGGAACUGUUGUUGGAUGAAAGAUCUGUGUAGGGAGCUCUUGAUCCAGCGGAACUCUUGAAUCUCGUCAACUACGAAUCGUUGUUGUGUGAUUGUCCAAAGUAGGGUUUAUUGUAUCCUUUAAACUGCUUUGAGUAUAAAAACAUGGAACUGUUAUUGGUUGAAAGAUCGGUUUAAGGUGCUCUUGAUCCAAUAAAUCAGUUGAAUCUGAGGAACCCCGAAUCGAUAUUGUGUGACUGUCUGAAGUAGGGUUUGUUGGAUCCGUUAGAGUGUCUUGAGCGAUCGAACAUGGAACUGUUAUUGGUUGAAAGGCCGGUGUAAGGGGUUCUUAAUCCAAUAAACCGGUUGAAUCUCACCAACAGAGAAUCUUUAUUACGUGAUUGUCCAGGGUAGGGUUUAUCGGAACCGUUAGACUGUCUUGAGUUUUCCAACAUGAAACCGAUCUUGGUUGAAAGGCCCGGUUAAGGUACUCCUUAUCGAACCAACAACUUAUAUCUCAUGAAAAUCUCGUAUCAUUGUUGUGUGAUUGUCUAAAUUAGUGUUUGUCGUAUCUGAUAGGACAUCUUAAUAGAAAGAAAGUGUUCUACCGGGGCAGGAGUAGGUGGGGAGAGGAGAGGGAGUGCCCUUGUUUGGAGGACGGCCUGGGGAGGAGGCGGAGGUACCACGACGACGUUUUCGAGGAGGAGGAGGCGCGAGCAGGAGUGGCGGCGGUGCCGGGUGCGGGAGCGGCGAACCAUUGAGCUGCGGUCGCACGAGUGGUCGCUGAUCCGGCGGCCGCCGGGAGCGGCAGAAGCUGACGCCGCGCUGGGGAGAGCGGACGCGGUGGCUGCAGCAGCCGCGCGAGAGGACGCUCCGGCGCCGGACCCGGCAGGGGCUUCGUGGGCGGCGGAGGUUCCUGUCCCGGCUGCAGCGGCGGCUGGAGUCCUCCCAGGAUGAGCCCAGGAGGUUGGCGUGCCGGUGGUCGCAGGGAUGCCGCCGGAGCAAGAGCUCCCACGGCCCCCGCCGCGCCCGAGUUACGAGGCCAUGACUUCGAGCCCUUGUCCCCACGGUGACCGGCACGUCGAACAUGCCAUGAUCCACGUCAGCCACACGUUGGGGGGUUCGAAGACAGGAUUUGACCUCAGGGAUGUGUGUCAUGUGCCGUUGUGCACCGAAACCCUUUUCCUAUGUCCUCUCUAUUAUUAUUGGAUAGCUUUCCUUCUAUGGCUCUUAAGAUGGUCACACUGAAGCUGUAACGACCUCAGAUGCUCGGUGACCUUGGUCUAAAGCUCCAAUAGUUUUGAGACUGUCUCAACGAUGUAUAUAUCCGAUCUAUGACCGUACAUACUCUAUUUUGAUUUAGUAUCUUCCAUGAGCUACCUUACGACCUCUAGAUGCCGAACGGAGGGCUCUUCAAGCUGUUUGACUGUAAGCUUCUGCACUUUUUUCUUGACCACCUUCUCUUCCCACAUGGUGUACUUUGUGACUUUUCUAACCUUCAAGUACCUCUUACGACCCAGACAACAACGGACCUGACCUUCUGAGACGAGUCGAAUAGGGGCCUAGGACGACGACAAAGAGGGUGGUCCGAACGCAAACGUUGAGUAAAGAUCGUGCGGAAGUAUUCGGAGGGCACGUUACGAGUCAAGCUUCUCGAGAGGCGCAUCCUAGAGAAGGACUGUAUGAGGGACUUGUCGCUAAUGGGGGACUGCGACGGCCAAAUGCCGCUGACCUUUUUCGGUCGGCUCAGGUUCCGCUAGUAUAAGGCCGCACCCAUAAGCUGACUCUCGGUUUUUCCGGUCGACAACUACUUCUUUGAACUAAUGGACGUCAUCUUUGACAACGUCUUAUAAAAGAAGUCGGAAAGGUUUGGGAACUACGUGGUUCCUCCUGUGAAACUACACGAUGACCGUCGAGUUUACCCGCUCCGCUGGCUCCUCCGGGACUACGGUGACCGGCACGUUGAACAUGCGCCAUCCGCGUGAGCUGUAAGUUGGAGAGUCGCGGCGAGCCCGUGACGGAGACGCGAUGACGACGUAUCACUAGUACGAUGACUGCCUUUCCCGUGACGAAGAAGCGCACCUAAGACGUCACCAAUGGGUUCGAUAGCAAACGAGGGUCAACAGGAUUUGACCUCGGGGAUGUCAUGUACCACUUCACUUCUUUCGAUACUUCUCGUCACUUACUUAGUCGCUCCUUCUCUAACGGAUUUCAAGGGUUCCCUUGUGCACUGAAACCCCCUCUAGUAGUUUACCGGUAUUCCGCCGUACGUGAAAGUCAUUAUUGUCAACAUGAUGAGGGAGGCAGAGAUUUAUGAACAGAAAGAUCCGUAAAGUUUACUUAUAGUGUAUGCCUACAUACAUCUGUAUAAAAUCUCACAUCUAAGUGAGUAAAAUGAGGCAUACAUCAGUGAACAACUUUACGGAUCUUUCUGUUCAUAAAUCCUUGCCUCCCUCAUAAACUCUACGUGCCACAACGACUUUAACUAUGUGGACGUAAACUCAACUCUCUUUGGGAAUGCCCGUUUAUGCUGGAACGACUAGUCUAGGUUAACAUUUCGAUCGUAUCAAAAAAAAAAGAAAAAAACUUUGGACUUCCACCGUAGGUCUCUUUUGAUGAAAGUCUUGUUGGCUAGUAAAGAGAGCAAAAAUCUAAUGAAUUAGCUCAAGUCGGAGGUUGAAUAAAGUAAGUACAGAAGACAUGACUACUCGCCAUUACUCUUAUUGGUUUCUAUACUGUUCCAAAAAGACAUGACAAGUUUAGGUGGACAGUACUACAUAAGGCAAGGGCGACGUGAAUGUCCGAAACUUAAACCUACGACAUUCUUUGAAGCCUAAUCCAUUAAUCAACAAAGGAAUCGUAACAAGCUGGAGAUGUUUCUAGAGUCUGUUCUGGACGGUGACGGACAAGUCAUAAGUAACGCUUAGAAGUCCUAUAGACAUAUAUCCUCCGAUGUACUAGAGACAUCGACACUAUUGAUAAAGCACCAGACAUGAAUCAAUCGACGUAAAGAACACUCAACAACAUUCUAUCCCCUGGUGUGCAUAUGUUGGCAUAUAGAUAUGUUUAUGUUAUGCCAAUAUGUUGGCAUAUAGAUAUGUUUAUGUUAUGCCAAUAUGUUGGUAUAUAGAUAUGUUUAUGUUAUGCCAAUAUAUAAGAUUGUCAACACUGUGAAUUGUGUAACACUACCACAUAUCCUACUAUAAGUCAGUUGACAAAACUUUCCCCGACAUGAGCAUCAAACUAGAUAUAAUUUCACACACGUGAUUAUAAGAUUUUACUACACAAAGAAAGGUAAACAAAUACAAAAAAGUCUCACACUUGUUGGAAGUUGCCUAUCAUCUGUUCUGACUUGAACAACAAAAAAGGACGUGUUUCCAUUGACCAUUUAUUCCACAACGUCAUGAACAGACAUAGACAUACGCCACCGUAGGGACAGGUACUCUAUCUUAGCUCACCUCAGUGGCGCCGAACUAGACAUUCACAACCAGGUCAUACAUGGAUCACAGGGAGGGGAGGGGUGGGGAUUGGGAUUGGCGCGGCGGUCGGCGGGGAGGGGCGAGGAGGGGGCGAAGCGGCGGCGGCCUCUCCUGUGGCCGCUUCGGGCGCACCAGGGACGCCUUCCACCGCCGCCCCGCAGGAGCGGCAAGAGCGCGUCUAGAGCGCCGUCGGCUACCGCGCGCCGCCACAAGGCGGCCCCCGACCGCGGACGACGGGCACUCCGCCGCAGGGAGUGCCGCCGCCCCGACGGGGACUUGCCGCGAACCACCACCGGUGCACCGCCGCACGCCCACCCGGCUUAGACCCGAAGCCAGACGCAGGAGCAGCACCGUCGCGAACGGCAACGGGAGCCGAUACUCCGCACCAGGCCCUGCCCGGAUCGCGGCCACCACGACCGAUCCUGCGUGCGACCGUCGCGGGAUGAAGUAGAGCACAGCGUAGCAACCGGUUACCACCACCAGUAGAAGAAGCAGUUUCUACCGGCCGGUCUCCGAACCACUAGCCUAGAGCUCUAGGUAGUAAAUCAGGGCCGACGCUCAACCCCUCUGUAACAACGGCCACUUUUGGCUCGGCAACCGUCCGCUACCGCCGCAAGAUGUGCGGCAAUGGAACUACCUCCGUAACAGCACAUUGAUGACAGUUGGGUGAGCACGACGAGACCCCCUUUGGGAUCCUAGACCACAAGGUCUAGCCUUCUACCGCUGUGACGCCACAGCAAAGAGAGAACCCUCGUAGCAAACACCUCGUUGCGACCUUCAGUCUCCGUCCUCCACCUCGCCGAAGCAGAACGUGCCUCGAAGCCACCUCUACAGUUCAGUACGGACGGGCUGUCCACGAUGCGAAACAGUACGGACUAGCCGUCCACGAUGCGUGCUGUCUAGAAAGUUUCUGAAGUUCGACACAGCCGACCACCAUAAACCGUCGUACCACGACUCCACAUAGUCACCGCUGGCGCUGCACGUGUCGACAAACGCACGUCCUUCCUCCACGGCAACCCGCGACACCACCACAGCUACUAUCGAUCUGGCUGGUUCCAACUACGUAGUCAUGUCAAGACUUCUACCUCGCCACCGUCAACCGCCGCCGCCGGAGACUCUCGUGCGGCCUGGCCGCUCUGGGUACGGGCCGUCCGUAGGACCUACCCAGGAGUCCAGAAUCUACAAUCCAAACCGACGCUACAGAUAAACCAUAAUCCGGGUUCGAUAGACGCGAGGAAGUAGUUGACCUAUCCACAUCGCUGUCAAACAACGAAUCUGCCGCCGAAAUCAGAAUGACACCAUAAUGAAACAUUCCAGAACACUCUUAUUAAUUAUUUCACCGGCAUACGUAGCGGGUCUACGUCUCCGGCCCCCAGUAGGAAGAAAAUUUUUUUUUUCAUACGUCGCUUAUAGCUUAUAGAUGAUAAUGUCAGAUGGCACAUAAACUAUCUCCUAUCUAUCGUCUGAGGUAAUCACAUUACUCCCCGUCGUAGAGGCAGACAGGGGUUCUUCUCAGCUGGGUUGCGGACUUUGGACUUCGAUCUCCGUUCAUAAGUCUCAACUCUUUUGUCUCCUUUUCGUCUCCUUCGCCCGGUCUCCAUACAUUUACGUAGUGCCGAGAGACUAUUAACGUCCGACCUCGUAACUCAUAAGUUAGGUCCGGGAACCGAGUUUUCUGUCGUAAUAGAGGGCAGUGUUGAGUUGAUGUACUCUUCUACCGUGUGUCUAUUAUUAUUUAAGGUUGACAGAAUUUAAGAAAGUUACGAUAGAAUAACUGCAGCGAUCAUCUUGGCUCCAUUUCAAACCUUCCUCGAGGAAGGCAAGCUUUUAUGAACAGUAGUUUUACCUGUUUUUCUCUACAUAGAUCUUGAUUUUAUGUAGAUCUAUGUAGGAGAAAAUAAAUAAAACUACUGUUGAUAAAGGCCUGCCUCCCUCAUUAUAAGAACUCCAUUUAUUUAGAUGACUCCACUAUAAGCCUUCGCGGUCACCUAUAUCACAGAAAUAUCGAUCUCCUCUUCAUACC
rnacentral:rRNA from 1 species